rnacentral:rRNA from 1 species
AUGCACGCUGGCGGCGUGCCUAAUACAUGCAAGUCGAGCGAACGGACGAGAAGCUUGCUUCUCUGAUGUUAGCGGCGGACGGGUGAGUAACACGUGGAUAACCUACCUAUAAGACUGGGAUAACUUCGGGAAACCGGAGCUAAUACCGGAUAAUACUUUGAACCGCAUGGUUCAAAAGUGAAAGACGGUCUUGCUGUCACUUAUAGAUGGAUCCGCGCUGCAUUAGCUAGUUGGUAAGGUAACGGCUUACCAAGGCAACGAUGCAUAGCCGACCUGAGAGGGUGAUCGGCCACACUGGAACUGAGACACGGUCCAGACUCCUACGGGAGGCAGCAGUAGGGAAUCUUCCGCAAUGGGCGAAAGCCUGACGGAGCAACGCCGCGUGAGUGAUGAAGGUCUUCGGAUCGUAAAACUCUGUUAUUAGGGAAGAACAUAUGUGUAAGUAACUGUGCACAUCUUGACGGUACCUAAUCAGAAAGCCACGGCUAACUACGUG